rnacentral:rRNA from 1 species
AUUGAACGCUGGCGGCAUGCUUUACACAUGCAAGUCGAACGGUAACAGGUUAAGCUGACGAGUGGCGAACGGGUGAGUAAUGCAACGGAGUGUGCCCGAUCGUGGGGAUAACGCAGCGAAAGCUGCGCUAAUACCGCAUACGAUCUGAGGAUGAAAGCGGGGGACCGUAAGGCCUCGCGCGAUCGGAGCGGCCGAUGUCAGAUUAGGUAGUUGGUGGGGUAAAGGCCCACCAAGCCGACGAUCUGUAGCUGGUCUGAGAGGACGACCAGCCACACUGGGACUGAGACACGGCCCAGACUCCUACGGGAGGCAGCAGUGGGGAAUUUUGGACAAUGGGCGAAAGCCUGAUCCAGCAAUGCCGCGUGCAGGAAGAAGGCCUUCGGGUUGUAAACUGCUUUUGUACGGAGCGAAAAGGUCCUUUCUAAUACAGGGGGCUCAUGACGGUACCGUAAGAAUAAGCACCGGCUAACUACGUGCCAGCCGCCGCCGUAA